rnacentral:lncRNA from 1 species
AUAUGUGUUUUUCUUAAGUAUGAUAUUUAUCAAACUCAUUCUUAAGUAUGAUAUUUAUCAAACUCAAUAAAAUGUUUUGUGUUUUUCUUUCAAAUUUAUUUUUAAAUAUAUUAUAUAUCUUUCAAUUGUGAACUUUAUAUUAGUAUGUUAUUUUGCAUUUCCACUUCGUUUAUAUUUAUUUAUCUACACUUUACUUCGUCGAUUUAUUUUUACACGUAUAAAAAUAAGAAGAAAA